UCUUUCGUGGUGUAAUUGAAAGCACGUCCGGUUAGCAAUUGGAAGGUCCGGAGUUCGAAUCUCGGUAAGAGCA
rnacentral:tRNA from 1 species